AUACCAGGUGCCAAACUUCAUUAUCCACCCCACCACCUUGCCCGGGAGGGAGAUCUGUGAAAGCGAAACGUGAUUUAAGCUGGGAUCUGGCAGCAACUUCGUGGACUCUGAAGGGCACGUGGGAAAGGAGUUUUGAUUGAAGAGUAAUUUUAUGCUGAUUGAAGAAAAGAAGUAAACAGAGUUCCAGAAAGCAACUGCAAAUACUCAUUUUGAAAAAGAAAACAAAACAAAAACAAGGGAGACAUUUUAAAAGGUAUUUUUAUUCAGAAAUUUUUAAAAAAGAAAUAAGGAAAAAGGUGAACAACCCACAAUUCGUCCUGUAGUAUACAAAUGGCAUCUAAGAGUGAGAACCUUGGCAUCCUU
rnacentral:lncRNA from 10 species